rnacentral:rRNA from 1 species
AACGCGAAGAACCUUACCCGGGUUUGACAUUCUUCUGCACCGUACGGAAACGUGCGUCCUCGCAAGAGGCGGGAGAACAGAUGCUGCAUGGCUGUCGUCAGCUCGUGCCGUGAGGUGUUGGGUUAAGUCCCGCAACGAGCGCAACCCUCGGGGCUAGUUACCGUGUCUAGUCCGACUGCCGCGACAAACGCGGAGGAAGGUGGGGAUGACGUCAAGUCAGCACGGCUCUUACAUCCGGGGCGACACACACGCUACAAUGGACGCGACAACGGGCUUGCCAAGCCGCAAGGCGGAGCGAAUCCCAUCAAAGGCGUCCUCAGUUCAGAUCGGCGUCUGCAACCCGACGCCGUGAAGGCGGAGUUGCUAGUAACCGCGGGUCAGCACACCGCGGUGAAUACGUUCCCGGGCCUUGUACACACCGUAGUAC